UUAAAUCGAAAAGUUCAGUUUUCCUCCGUGUAACGGGUAUUACGCGUUCUAUCCGGCAGCAAAAAAAAAAAGAUAUACAAAAAAGUGUUUUUUUUUCCACUUUCCACUUCAGUGGGGGUUUCCGUUAUAUUACUUCUUCCAAAUGGUGGCCUAACAAUACACACAGGCGCAAUAAAAAAAGUGUGUGUGAUGAUAAAGAAAGAAAAUUAAAGAAAAAUGUUUGAUUAAGUGCGAAAGUUUUGCUUAAUAGCUUAGUGCUACGAAAAAAAAAGGAAAAAUAAGAAAUUAAAGUCUUAAAACCUUUACAACAAAAAAAAAAGAAAAAGAAGAAAAAAAAGUGAUCCAAAAAUUAUAUCGUGUACCUUUACAAUAAAAGUUCACAAGCAUCAAUUUUACGUACAUCCUGUGGAUAAGGAUUUCUUUUCUUGUCAGCUCCACGACUAACAGCGCCAUAUCGCAGCUUCGAUUUAUAUCAGGAGAGCAAAAAGGAAAACAAGAAAAACAGCAGGGGAUUUCCAUUUCCAUUUGGUUUAUCUUAUCUGCAUUAAAAUCCAAAAUUUUCACAAAUCGCGAAGAAUCAGUCGACCCGUAACCGAAACGACGACCAUCACUACACAAGUCAUCAUCAUCAUCAUCAUGAUGUCGUCCUCCUUCACUUCAAAGAAGCAAUAGAACGACGAAGCAACUAUACAACUACACACACUCAUAGAAAUAUACUCUCAUCAAAUUUGUGCAAAUUGUAUCAGCUUGUUAUUCAAUUUGGGCAACCAUC